rnacentral:misc_RNA from 1 species
UACGGAGGGUGCAAGCGUUACUCGGAAUUACUGGGUGUAAAGCGCGCGUAGGCGGCUUGAUAAGCCGGUUGUGAAAGCCCCGGGCUCAACCUGGGAACCACAUCCGGAACUGUCAGGCUAGAGUGCAGGAGAGGAAGGUAGAAUUCCCGGUGUACCGGUGAAAUGCGUAGAGAUCGGGAGGAAUACCAGUGGCGAAGGCGGCCUUCUGGACUGACACUGACGCUGAGGUGCGAAAGCGUGGGUAGCAAACAGG